rnacentral:rRNA from 1 species
CUUUCUUUGCUGGCGACCGGCGCACGGGUGAGUAACACGUAUCCAACCUGCCCUUUACUCGGGGAUAGUCUUUCGAAAGAAAGAUUAAUACCCGAUAGCAUAAUGAUUCCGCAUGGUUUCAUUAUUAAAGGAUUCCGGUAAAGGAUGGGGAUGCGUUCCAUUAGGUUGUUGGUGAGGUAACGGCUCACCAAGCCUUCGAUGGAUAGGGGUUCUGAGAGGAAGGUCCCCCACAUUGGAACUGAGACACGGUCCAA